AAAUAUUACUGCAAGUUGUUUUUACACUCUUCGAUACAUUUUUUUAUUCAUACGUUUUUCAAAACAUCAUUCGACUUUAAUGAAACCAUUCCCAUGUUUUCUAUUUGUCAUAAUAUACAUCGCGAAUCUCGCUCGGACCUAAAUGAUAUGCGACCGAUAUAAUUUCGAACUGCAACAGUCUUAUUGAAAAAAAAGAAAAAAAGAAAAGGACUCGGUGUUUGACAUUCGAUAAUAAUGAUGACAAUUAAAUUGUUAGUCGUAUCGCGGGUAAGGCUGGAUGGGAGAGUGAAACCAAGUUUCUCGGAAACAUUACGUGCAUUACGAAAUGCGGUUAAACCUA